rfam:Ipomoea nil DNA, scaffold: scaffold0415, cultivar: Tokyo-kokei standard.
GCUGGGCUUGGUAGCGUGAGUCUGUAACCCAAGUGGGAGUAUUAAGAUGGUGGAAUAAUUGGGUUUACCUUGAAGGCUGGGCUUGAGGUGCUAUCUACUGGCCUGCCUGUUCCAAGUGAUGAGUCCGGCUGUGGAGUCUCUGCGAAGGCGGAGGCCUCUCAUCCUUUAGACUGGAGGGCACCGCGUCAGGCUGGUUUCACAGAGCAACGAACACGUCCUUCUCUUUGCAGUGGAAGGACAACAGGUCGGAGCAUCUUCAGUCUGCUAGCGCCCGAUUGGUUGUCCGAAUUAAACCACCAUCUUU